AUUGAACGCUGGCGGCAUGCCUUACACAUGCAAGUCGAACGGUAACGCGGGGCAACCUGGCGACGAGUGGCGAACGGGUGAGUAAUGCAUCGGAACGUGCCCAGUAGUGGGGGAUAGCCCGGCGAAAGCCGGAUUAAUACCGCAUACGACCUACGGGUGAAAGCGGGGGACCGUAAGGCCUCGCGCUAUUGGAGCGGCCGAUGUCAGAUUAGGUUGUUGGUGGGGUAAAAGCCUACCAAGCCGACGAUCUGUAGCCGGUCUGAGAGGACGACCAGCCACACUGGGACUGAGACACGGCCCAGACUCCUACGGGAGGCAGCAGUGGGGAAUUUUGGACAAUGGGGGCAACCCUGAUCCAGCCAUGCCGCGUGCGGGAAGAAGGCCUUCGGGUUGUAAACCGCUCUUGUCAGGGAAGAAACGCUCUGGGCUAAUACCCCGGGGUAAUGACGGUACCUGAAGAAUAAGCACCGGCUAACUACGUGCCAGCAGCCGCCGUAAGAC
rnacentral:rRNA from 1 species